rnacentral:tRNA from 1 species
CAAGGAGUAGUUUAGACAUAGAACGCUAGCUUUGGGAGCUAGUGGUGGGGGUUAAAGUCCCCCCUCUUUGA